GACGAACGCUGGCGGCGUGCUUAACACAUGCAAGUCGAACGGUAAGGCCCUUCGGGGUACACGAGUGGCGAACGGGUGAGUAACACGUGGGUGAUCUGCCCUGCACUUCGGGAUAAGCCUGGGAAACUGGGUCUAAUACCGGAUAGGACCACUGCCUGCAUGGGUGGUGGUGGAAAGCUUUUGCGGUGUGGGAUGGGCCCGCGGCCUAUCAGCUUGUUGGUGGGGUGAUGGCCUACCAAGGCGACGACGGGUGGCCGGCCUGAGAGGGUGACCGGCCACACUGGGGCUGAGAGACGGCCCAGACUCCUACGGGAGGCAGCAGUGGGGAAUAUUGCACAAUGGGCGCAAGCCUGAUGCAGCGACGCCGCGUGAGGGAUGACGGCCUUCGGGUUGUAAACCUCUUUCAGCACCGACGAAGCGCAAGUGACGGUAGGUGCAGAAGAAGGACCGGCCAACUACGUGCCAGCAGCCGCCGUAAAAC
rnacentral:rRNA from 1 species